CAUGACAGUCUGGAUGAUUUGAAGUAAUCAUUUAUUUUCACACUAGCAUUCAAUUAUCACGGCAUAACUAUUACGCUGAACUAUAAGUAAAGUACAAAAAAGUUAAAAUAACAAAACCUGUAAUUAUUACUUGUGAAAGAAUAUCAUUCACGUCUUACUAAACCUAGCCACGCGAAAAUGAACGAUGUAAACAAAUCCUUUCUGUUUCCUCUUCUGAGCGCAGGUCACGUGAAAAAUGAUCCUAAGAUCCGUAUCCGAAGACCCAGUCAAAAUGAACGAAUCAGUUCUGGUUUCUCUAGCUACCAGUGCUGAGCCUCUGCAGGUCACGUGAAAAAUCUGUAUCCGGCAGAUGAACGAAUCGUUCACCUCCCGACCGUGUCUUCGGGUCAAUAAUUCGUUCAUCGUUUUCAUUUUCACGGCGUUUACGUGCGUUUACCCUCCACUACAGCCCUGCUUGGAACGAUUCGUUCAACGACACAUCACUACUUUCUGCAGUAGCGGACACAUUUGUCCCGUAUUUUCCUCCAGAACUUUGGGCACCUCUCGACCGGCAAACCGGCGCUUACGGACAUCUCCCUCCGUGAAUCCAACCCGCCAAUGACGGCUUGUAUAAGCGGUCAUAUUUACGCAUUUAUUCCGACAAAAGUUCUUAAAUCUGAUCCGUUCUCUCGUAAACAUUCUUCGUUUUAAUAAUGGCGGUAUCGUGCUAUGAAAGCGGAAAUGUGAGACUCCGUAAAGGACGUAGUUAGCGGACCAAUCGCAGCCUGGUGCGCUGCGGGAGGCUUGCGUUGCUUGCGUCGCUUUUGACGCAAGCCUAGAAAAAUGGCUCGACGCAGGGAGGUGUGAAAAGGCACGCAAGGGGGGCUUGCGUCUGCGUCGCUCUGAAAACGCAGAAACAUAAAAUAGGCUUUGGACAUGUAAAUUACGUUAGAUUAUCACUAUAUAAUCAUUUUUACUUGUAUGGUGACUAAUCCUUAAAUUAAAAAAACAUAUUAAUUAAUACAUGAAUUUUGGAUUUAGUAUUAUACCAUAUAAAAUAAAAAAGACAACUAGAUGUGUUACAGGGUUCAAUGAUUGUCUCAUUGAGAACAAACCCUCUGAUUCGUUGGCUGAUUUUAGUCACUAGAGACAGUUGAGAUCAAGCUACCAUUAACAUUGGAGUGAAUAAAUUAGAAUAUUUAGAAUUUUUCAUUUUGGGGGAAGUUAACACACAUUUUUCUGAUCUGCUUUUUGUCAUAUUUAUUUAUUUAUCUAUCUAAACUGUAGGAGCGUUGACGGGCUGCAGCGUGGAGGUUCAUUGAGUCUCUGAUUGACAGAGUGGGAGAGAAGAUGUCGUCUGUCGUCCAGCAGCAGAGAACAAACAGACAUUCAUGACUCUGCAGUUGCACUUGACUGCGUCAUUAGAGACGCUCACACGUCCCGUUGAACUCGUUGAGCUUGAAUUUGUGUUAUUUGUGGAGAAUUGAAUUUGUUUUAUUUGUGAAGAAUUAAAUUUGUUUUAUUUGUGGAGAAUUGAAUUUGUUUUAAUGGUGGAGAAUUGAAUUUGUUUUAUUUGUGGAGAAUUGAAUUUGUUUGUGCUUUGAGUUGCCUGACUUCAUUCUUUAGAAACAUUCAUGUUUUAAUCAAAAUGUUCCAUAGAGGAAGAAGUAGAGGAACACAUGUUCAUCUACUUUAAAUAUUCUCUUCUUUUGCCGUUAUUCUAAGACAAGAUGUUUUAUUACAGGAAGAAGAGAGUCAACAAUUCAAAUCAGGCUCAAAGUGUCGACUCACACCUGCGUGUGUCAUUCAAUUUAUUCAAGUCAACAAAUAACAAAGAACAUGAGAUUUUCUUUGGUUAUCAAAAUGUAUUUAUUAUUGUUUAGAUAAUAAUCACAUGAGAUUACUUACAUGAUACAAUAACACACAUACAAACAAUAACAAUAAUACAACACAAUGAUUGGGGGGAAAUCUGAAGGAGUUCCUGAGAAGAAAGAAAAGAAGUAGUUAUUGACAUGUUAAUGUCGUUAGUGUGUCUGUGUGUAGAACAAAAUGUUAGUUUGUCUAUGUGUACAUCUAAAUGUUAAAUGAUCUAUGUGUAUCUCAAUAUUAAUGUGUCUAUGUGUACAUCUCAAUAUUAAUGAUCUAUGUGUACAUCUAAAUGUUAAUGUGUCUAUGUGUACAUCUCAAUAUUAAUGAUCUAUGUGUACAUCUCAAUAUUAAUGAUCUAUGCAUACAUCUCAAUAUUAAUG
ensembl:lncRNA